rnacentral:lncRNA from 1 species
GGGAGCUAAAUAAGGAAUUUUAAGGAAAACAGACACUGAGAACUGUUAGUGGAAUUUCUCUCUUCGGUUUCUGUUUUCACUGGCGUGGUGAUUGCAGGCUUUGAGUGCUUCAAACCAGUGCUGUGACAGCGCUUGAAGCCCCUCAGAGAAGGAUGGAGUUUUCGGCACCGAAUAAUUAAAUGGAAGGUGGGAACAUUCCUGUCGUGUGACCACACAAAGGAGUUCCUGGGCAGGGCCUUAGGUGUGCUCUCACGGUAAGCACUUGUAAGUCACGGUAAGAAGGAAGGCAGCUGUUCCUAGGCUGGCCGAGAGUCAGGAAGGAGCUUUUGCUGCUGAUCGUUGGGGAAGUGAAUGCUGCGUGCUUUGUGGUUCAGUGUGUGCUCUAAUAAGAUCCAUUUUACAUGUUUCUUUAAGAAGCCAAGCAGAAGAUGGAUACGCUCCUCUCUAAAACUCACUAUUAUUAUACUAAUUAAAUGGAUAAGCUUAAGCAGA